CCUGGUGGUUAUGGCGGGGUGGCUGCACCCGUUCCCUUUCCGAACACGGCCGUGAAACGCCCCUGCGCCCAUGGUACUUCGUCUUAAGACGCGGGAGAGUAGGUCGCUGCCAGGUCUGCCAAACGCAACUUUGUUUAAUAGAAAUCUUCUCAUCACACUCUGAAAAACGGCCAAGCCGUGUUACAAUAGGCCGCUACCAAAGCGGCCUUUGUCGCUUCCGGAGCACAUUACCCCUGCACACCUGAAAUACGGUGCCACGGGAACAAGCGAUAAACCGCAACGCGGCUUACGCUGGAUGGCCUCCUGAAAAAGGGGGCAGUGAACACGAGACAAAUUGCUAAAGCAAUUUGCUCGGAUGACGCAAGCCGAAACGCGGCUUGCUACUCGCGACAAACCGCAACCCGGUUUGCGCUGGUGACGCGACAAACCGCA
rnacentral:rRNA from 1 species